AGUAUACCAGGGUUGCUGACCCCCUAAGUCCCCUUUUCUUGGCUUGUUGACAUGCAUAAUUGCAUUUAUGUUGGUUCUUGUGCCCUAGACAAGGAUGCCCCACCUCUUUUCAAUAGUGGGUGCCCACUCCUUAUGAUCUUUACAUUUGAACAGUUAAUGUGAAUAAUUGCAGUUGUCCACAACCCUAUCACUUCUAGGACCAUUAUACCUCUUUUGCAUUACUGUGGGGUAUACUGUUUCCCUCCAAGGCCCCUUCUGGUGGACUAUCAACAUAUAAUUGAAAUUUUCUUUUGUCUUUGUCAGUAGAUUAAGGUCAUACCCCAUCACCUUUCCUUUGUAGUACAACAGGGUGUCCUGAUCAACCAAAGUCCUGUUGUUUUGGACUGUUAAUAUGUGCAAUUACAUUUGCUCCUGAUCUGUGCACUAGAUAAGGAUCCUACCUACUUUCUUAGUGUUUUUAGCAGGUAGUGCCCACUACUCAAGACUGUCACUUGGAAUGUUCAUGUGCACAAACUCAAUUCUCUAAGCAUGUUCCUGUACCACCUUUGCUUUAGAGCAGGGGGAUGAUAUUCACUAAGUGCCCCUUCUUUUGGACUUAAUAUGCAUUAAUGCAAUUGUCCACCUCUUCUUUUAGACUAAGAGUUGAUCUCCACAUAUUCCCCUUGCAUCAGGGGCAUGUUAAUUAUGAAUGAACCCUUUUCUUUUAAUAUUAAUGUCAUAAUUGUAUUUGUGGACCUGUGUAGGAGAAAAAGACCCUAUGUUCCUCCCAUUACCCUUUGGAUUGCUGCUGAGAAGUGUUAACUACUCAUAAUCUCAGCUCUUGGACAAUUAAUAGCAUUAAUAACAAUUAUCAAGGGCACUGAUCAUUAGAUAAGACUCCUGCUUCCUCGUUGCUUACAUCGGGGGUACUGACCCACUAAGGCCCCUUGUACUGUUAAUGUGAAUAUUUGCAAUUAUAUAUGUCUCCUUCUGGUAGAGUGGGAUAUUAUGCCCUAGUAUCCCCUUUGCAUUACUGCAGGGGCUGCUGACUACUCAAAACUUCUCCUGGGACUGUUAAUAGGCACAAUGGCAGUUAUCAAUGGUUUUCUCCCUCCCUGACCUUGUUAAGCAAGCGCCCCACCCCACCCUUAGUUUCCCAUGGCAUAAUAAAGUAUAAGCAUUGGAGUAUUCCAUGCACUUGUCUAUCAAACAGUGGUCCAUACUCCCAACCCUUUUGCAUUGCGCCAGUGUGUAAAAUCACAGGUAGCCAUGGUGUCAUGCUUUAUAUACGAAGUCUUCCCUCUCUCUGCCCCUUGUGUGCCCUUGGCCCCUUUUUACAGACUAUUGCUCACAAUCUCAGGUGUCCAUAUUUGCAGCUAUUAGGUAAGAUUGUGCUGUCUCCCUCUUCCCUUCCCUCUGCCCUGCCCCUUUUGCCUCUUUGCUGGGUAAUGUUGACCAGACAAGGCCCUUUCUCUUGGACUUAAACAAUUCUCAGUUGCACUUUCCUUGGUCCCACCCAUUAUACAUGAACCCCUCUACUUCCUUUCGCAUUGCUUCUGAGUAUGCUGACUACCCAAAGCCCCUUCUGUGUUAUUAAUAAACACAGUACUGAUUGUCCCAUUUUUCAGCCCAUCAGUCCAAGAUCUCCCUACCACUUUGGUGUGUUGGUGCAGUGUUGACUAUGAAAAGCAGGCCUGAACUAGGUGGAUAAGCCUUCACUCAUUUUCUUUCAUUUAUUAAUGAUCCUAGUUUCAAUUAUUGUCAGAUUCUGGGGACAAGAACCAUUCUUGCCCACCUGUGUUACUGCUUUACUGUGCAAAAUACUGAAGGCAAGUCAGACCCAGGGAGCUGGAUUGCCAUCCUUUAUUUUGUGUUUCCAGUGUACACUAUAAAAUUGUCUCCCCAGGAAGGAAGGUUGGCACUUUCUCUGCAUUCUUCUUUCCAGAGCAGAUUGCCUGGUUAAGAAUCUCUUGUUGUCCCCUUUGUAUAUUGUUAUUGUAAAGUGCCAAAUGCCAGGAUACAGCCAGAAAAAUUGCUUAUUAUUAUUAAAAAAAUUUUUUUAAGAAAGACAUCUGGAUUGUAGGGUGGACUCGAUAACCUGGUCAUUAUUUUUUUGAAGCCAAAAUAUCCAUUUAUACUAUGUACCUGGUGACCAGUGUCUCUCAUUUUAACUGAGGGUGGUGGGUCUGUGGAUAGAACACUGACUCUUGCUAUUUUAAUAUCAAAGAUAUUCUAGAGUGGAACUCUUAAGACCAGUAUCUUUGUGUGGGCUUUACCAGCAUUCACUUUUAGAAAAACUACCUAAAUUUUAUAAUCCUUUAAUUUCUUCAUCUGGAGCACCUGCCCCUACUUAUUUCAAGAAGAUUGCAGUAAAACGAUUAAAUGAGGGAACAUAUGCAGAGGUGCUUUUAAAAAGCAUAUGCCACCUUUUUUAUUAAUUAUUAUAUAAAAUGAAGCAUUUAAUUAUAGUAAUAAUUUGAAGUAGUUUGAAGUACCACACUGAGGUGAGGACUUAAAAAUGAUAAGACGAGUUCCCUAUUUUAUAAGAAAAAUAAGCCAAAAUUAAAUAUUCUUUUGGAUAUAAAUUUCAACAGUGAGAUAGCUGCCUAGUGGAAAUGAAUAAUAUCCCAGCCACUAGUGUACAGGGUGUUUUGUGGCACAGGAUUAUGUAAUAUGGAACUGCUCAAGCAAAUAACUAGUCAUCACAACAGCAGUUCUUUGUAAUAACUGAAAAAGAAUAUUGUUUCUCGGAGAAGGAUGUCAAAAGAUCGGCCCAGCUCAGGGAGCAGUUUGCCCUACUAGCUCCUCGGACAGCUGUAAAGAAGAGUCUCUGGCUCUUUAGAAUACUGAUCCCAUUGAAGAUACCACGCUGCAUGUGUCCUUAGUAGUCAUGUCUCCUUAGGCUCCUCUUGAUCUUCCUCAGAAGAAUAGGCUUGUUGUUUUACAGUGUUAGUGAUCCAUUCCCUUUGACGAUCCCUAGGUGGAGAUGGGGCAUGAGGAUCCUCCAGGGGAAAAGCUCACUACCACUGGGCAACAACCCUAGGUCAGGAGGUUCUGUCAAGAUACUUUCCUGGUCCCAGAUAGGAAGAUAAAGUCUCAAAAACAACCACCACACGUCAAGCUCUUCAUUGUUCCUAUCUGCCAAAUCAUUAUACUUCCUACAAGCAGUGCAGAGAGCUGAGUCUUCAGCAGGUCCAAGAAAUUUGAACACACUGAAGGAAGUCAGCCUUCCCACCUGAAGAUCAACAUGCCUGGCACUCUAGCACUUGAGGAUAGCUGAAUGAAUGUGUAUUUCUUUGUCUCUUUCUUUCUUGUCUUUGCUCUUUGUUCUCUAUCUAAAGUGUGUCUUACCCAUUUCCAUGUUUCUCUUGCUAAUUUCUUUCGUGUGUGCCUUUGCCUCAUUUUCUCUUUUUGUUCACAAGAGUGGUCUGUGUCUUGUCUUAGACAUAUCUCUCAUUUUUCAUUUUGUUGCUAUUUCUCUUUGCUCUCCUAGAUGUGGCUCUUCUUUCACGCUUUAUUUCAUGUCUCCUUUUUGGGUCACAUGCUGUGUGCUUUUUGUCCUUUUCUUGUUCUGUCUACCUCUCCUUUCUCUGCCUACCUCUCUUUUCUCUUUGUGAACUGUGAUUAUUUGUUACCCCUUCCCCUUCUCGUUCGUUUUAAAUUUCACCUUUUUUCUGAGUCUGGCCUCCUUUCUGCUGUUUCUACUUUUUAUCUCACAUUUCUCAUUUCUGCAUUUCCUUUCUGCCUCUCUUGGGCUAUUCUCUCUCUCCUCCCCUGCGUGCCUCAGCAUCUCUUGCUGUUUGUGAUUUUCUAUUUCAGUAUUAAUCUCUGUUGGCUUGUAUUUGUUCUCUGCUUCUUCCCUUUCUACUCACCUUUGAGUAUUUCAGCCUCUUCAUGAAUCUAUCUCCCUCUCUUUGAUUUCAUGUAAUCUCUCCUUAAAUAUUUCUUUGCAUAUGUGGGCAAGUGUACGUGUGUGUGUGUCAUGUGUGGCAGAGGGGCUUCCUAACCCCUGCCUGAUAGGUGCAGAACGUCGGCUAUCAGAGCAAGCAUUGUGGAGCGGUUCCUUAUGCCAGGCUGCCAUGUGAGAUGAUCCAAGACCAAAACAAGGCCCUAGACUGCAGUAAAACCCAGAACUCAAGUAGGGCAGAAGGUGGAAGGCUCAUAUGGAUAGAAGGCCCAAAGUAUAAGACAGAUGGUUUGAGACUUGAGACCCGAGGACUAAGAUGGAAAGCCCAUGUUCCAAGAUAGAUAGAAGCCUCAGGCCUGAAACCAACAAAAGCCUCAAGAGCCAAGAAAACAGAGGGUGGCCUGAAUUGGACCGAAGGCCUGAGUUGGAUGGAAGUCUCAAGGCUUGAGUUAGAAGUCUUAAGACCUGGGACAGGACACAUGGAAGGCCUAAGAACUGAGACUUGUGACACAAGGCCAACGACCUAAGAUUAGCCCAGGGUUGUAGCUGGAAGACCUACAACCCAAGGAUGGAAGGCCCCUGUCACAAAGCCUACCUAGAUGGAUAGAGGACCCAAGCGAAAAAGGUAUCUCAAGACUAACGGCCGGAAUCUGGAGGCCCAUGACCCAGAACCCAGGAAGGAUAGAAGCUUGAAGACCUGGGGAAAUCCCAAGAUGAGAACCCUAAACCCUACCUCUUUUCUAUUGUUUACACUUCUUACUCUUAGAUAUUUCCAGUUCUCCUGUUUAUCUUUAAGCCUGAUUCUUUUGAGAUGUACUUUUUGAUGUUGCCGGUUACCUUUAGAUUGACAGUAUUAUGCCUGGGCCAGUCUUGAGCCAGCUUUAAAUCACAGCUUUUACCUAUUUGUUAGGCUAUAGUGUUUUGUAAACUUCUGUUUCUAUUCACAUCUUCUCCACUUGAGAGAGACACCAAAAUCCAGUCAGUAUCUAAUCUGGCUUUUGUUAACUUCCCUCAGGAGCAGACAUUCAUAUAGGUGAUACUGUAUUUCAGUCCUUUCUUUUGACCCCAGAAGCCCUAGACUGAGAAGAUAAAAUGGUCAGGUUGUUGGGGAAAAAAAAGUGCCAGGCUCUCUAGAGAAAAAUGUGAAGAGAUGCUCCAGGCCAAUGAGAAGAAUUAGACAAGAAAUACACAGAUGUGCCAGACUUCUGAGAAGCACCUGCCAGCAACAGCUUCCUUCUUUGAGCUUAGUUUCUGGCAUCACUACCACUACUGAUUAAACAAGAAUAAGAGAACAUUUUAUCAUCAUCUGCUUUAUUCACAUAAAUGAAGUUGUGAUGAAUAAAUCUGCUUUUAUGCAGACACAAGGAAUUAAGUGGCUUCGUCAUUGUCCUUCUACCUCAAAGAUAAUUUAUUCCAAAAGCUAAGAUAAAUGGAAGACUCUUGAACUUGUGAACUGAUGUGAAAUGCAGAAUCUCUUUUGAGUCUUUGCUGUUUGGAAGAUUGAAAAAUAUUGUUCAGCAUGGGUGACCACCAGAAAGUAAUCUUAAGCCAUCUAGAUGUCACAAUUGAAACAAA
ensembl:lncRNA XIST X inactive specific transcript